rnacentral:rRNA from 1 species
GUGCAAUGCGGGUGCUAUACAUGCAAGUCGAGCGGACAGAUGGGAGCUUGCUCCCUGAUGUUAGCGGCGGACGGGUGAGUAACACGUGGGUAACCUGCCUGUAAGACUGGGAUAACUCCGGGAAACCGGGGCUAAUACCGGAUGCUUGUUUGAACCGCAUGGUUCAAACAUAAAAGGUGGCUUCGGCUACCACUUACAGAUGGACCCGCGGCGCAUUAGCUAGUUGGUGAGGUAACGGCUCACCAAGGCAACGAUGCGUAGCCGACCUGAGAGGGUGAUCGGCCACACUGGGACUGAGACACGGCCCAGACUCCUACGGGAGGCAGCAGUAGGGAAUCUUCCGCAAUGGACGAAAGUCUGACGGAGCAACGCCGCGUGAGUGAUGAAGGUUUUCGGAUCGUAAAGCUCUGUUGUUAGGGAAGAACAAGUACCGUUCGAAUAGGGCGGUACCUUGACGGUACCUAACCAGAAAGCCACGGCUAACUACGUGCCAGCAGCCGCGGUAAUACGUAGGUGGCAAGCGUUGUCCGGAAUUAUUGGGCGUAAAGGGCUCGCAGGCGGUUCCUUAAGUCUGAUGUGAAAGCCCCCGGCUCAACCGGGGAGGGUCAUUGGAAACUGGGGAACUUGAGUGCAGAAGAGGAGAGUGGAAUUCCACGUGUAGCGGUGAAAUGCGUAGAGAUGUGGAGGAACACCAGUGGCGAAGGCGACUCUCUGGUCUGUAACUGACGCUGAGGAGCGAAAGCGUGUGUAGCGAACAGGAUUAGAUACCCUGGUUAGUUCACGCCGUAUAUUAUGAGUGCUAAUUGCUAGGGGGCUUACCGCCCUAGUGCUUGCAGCUAACGACAUUAAGUACUUCUGCCUGGGGUAUGUAGGUCGCAGUAUCUCGAAAGAUCUAAAGGCAAUUGAUAAGGUGGGCCGCUCUAAAGCGGUGGGA